UAAUGCCGUUGAGUUGAGGAGACCCAACCCCUUUCUCCUCCCAGCUGUUCAUAGCUGUCCAAUCUCUCUCUCAUCCAUGUGACCCCACUGCAAAACACACAUAGAUGCAGAUACCCCAGAGAUUUAUUGGGAUUUUAAAACCUCCAUAAACAUUUUUUCUUUAAAAAUUCAUUUUUUUCUUCUUCUUCUCCUCCUUCUUCCUUUCUCAUUAGACCCUUUAAGCCUCAAACCUUCUUCCAUUUAACAUGCUUUCAUCUCCAACUAUAUAUAAUUAUAUGUGCAUAUAGAUAGACAUAAUAUAUACCAGCAUUGUGUUUGUGUAUGGUUUGGUUUGGUUUGAUUUGAGAUAUUUAUAUACAUAGUCUUCUUCUGUUCCUUUCUCUCUAAUUCUACUUCAUCAUCAUCUUCCUGAGAGAUUGUGUUGAUUGGUGUCACUCAAAAUGGCUCAAUUGCCACCAAAAGUUCCAAACAUGACACCCAAUUGGCCAGACUUUUCUUCUCCUCACCAAAAGAUGCCUUCCUUCAAAACCAUGGCACCAAACAUCUCAAACCAAAACCCUUCAUGGGUGGAUGAGUUUCUUGACUUCUCAGCCGCCAGACGCGGUGCUCACCGGCGCUCGGUGAGUGACUCCGUCGCCUUCCUGGAGGCACCAAUGCUGGAUCAUCACUGUAAAAGCCGCGGGAGUGAUGGUGGUGGUGACAAUGAGAACGAGUUCGAGAGGUUUGAUGACGAACAAUUCAUGUCCAUGUUCAGUGAUGAGGCUUCAGGGAAUAAUAAUAGUAAUAAUAUUAUUGAUAAUGAUAAUAAUAAUAAUAUCAACAACUAUCAUAGUAAUAAUAGCACCAUGAUGGCAUUCACGGUUUCCUGCUCCAACCCUUCUACACCCUCUGAUCACAACAGCAUCAACGAUGAGAAGGAUAUGAACAAGGAAAAGGAGGAGGAGCAAGAGACGAAGCAAGUGAAGAAUGAGUCAGAUGAGGAUGAAAGCCAAUGCAAGCAAGAAAUCACACAAAACCCCGAUGAUUGUAAUAAUAGUAACGCAAAUGCAGCAACUUGUUCCAGUGAGAAAAUCACAGACCCCAAGAGGGUCAAAAGAAUCUUGGCAAAUAGACAAUCGGCACAGAGAUCAAGAGUGAGGAAGCUGCAAUACAUUUCUGAGCUUGAACGAAGUGUGACUUCAUUACAGGCUGAAGUUUCUGUAUUGUCUCCGCGAGUUGCAUUUUUGGAUCAUCAACGUUUGCUUCUAAAUGUUGACAACAGUGCUUUGAAGCAAAGAAUCGCCGCGCUGGCUCAAGACAAGAUCUUCAAAGAUGCACAUCAAGAAGCACUGAAGAGGGAGAUAGAGAGACUGAGGCAAGUGUAUCACCAACAAAACAUAAAGAAGAUGGACAAUGCUGCAGGAUCAACAUCCCAAUCACCAUUACCAUCUCCAAAACCACGAUGUGACACACUCACUGAAAAGGAACAACUUAUCAAUGUCUGAAGUUUGAAUCCUCCCUUGAACACUGACUGAACCUGUGUAGACUUUGAUCAAAGAUGUGAAACAUAUUAUGGAUUGUGAUAGAAGAAUAAGACUAAAAGUAGUUAUAAAAGUUGGUAAGAAGAAAAAGGGUGAUGAAUGGCAUGACGUAGUGAUGGGUGAGAGAUUUUAUUAGGCAAUUGAUGAAGGAAAUGUUCAUAAUGGAGACAUUGGUGGUGGUAGGCUUUUGCUAUCAAACUGAGGCAGUCACGUGAUGUGUUUGCUUUAAAGAAAGGGACCACUCAAGUUGCAUGAUUGGAAUGCAGGGAAACACAUGUGCACCAGUGACAUCAAAGAAAAAAACAGUUGUGUCUGCUUUAACUACAUGGGAGAGGGAGGUAUCUGUCGGAGAUUCUUUCAGUUUUUUUUUUCUUUUUUUUUUUUAUAAUGAUUGUGUUAUUGUUCUUUGUCUUGAAUCUGGAUUCUUUUCGAUUUUUGUUUAUAUUUUGUUGGGGGGUUCAGUUCAAGUUGGAAAACAAAGACAAGUGGACGUGUGUGUUGGGAUGGAUGAAAGGAAGGUAUGUCAUUGUCAGUGAAAGUGUUGGCUCCUCUGGGUUUUGUUGUACUUUGUGUUACUGCUUUGAAGGGUUGUGAUUAUCUUUAUUUGGCAUGUUAAUUUGAAGGGGAAACAAAAAUCAAAGUGUAAAUAUUUAGUUAACUUGAUAAGAUUCUUGUAGUAUAUGGUGAAGUUUUAACUGUUGCAAGAA